rnacentral:rRNA from 1 species
CCUACGGGAGGCAGCAGUGAGGAAUAUUGGUCAAUGGACGCGAGCCUGAACCAGCCAAGUAGCGUGAAGGAUGACUGCCCUACGGGUUGUAAACUUCUUUUAUUAGGGAAUAAAGUGAGGCUCGUGUGCCCCGUUGUAUGUACUCUAUUAAUAAUGAUCGGCUAUCCCCGUGCCAGCAGCUGCGGUAAUAUGGAGGAGCCGAGCGUGUUCUGGAUUUAUUGGGUUAAUGGGGGGCGUGUGCGGACUGUUAUGUGAGCGGUAAAAGCCCGGGGGUAACCCCCGGAGAGCAGUUGAAACUGGCUGUCUUGAGAUGUCGAGGGGUAUGCGGAAUGCGCGGUGUAGCGGUGAAAUGCUUAGAUAUUGCGAAGAACUCCGAUUGCGAAGGCAGGAUACCGGCGGCGAUCUGACGCUGAGGCACGAAAGCGUGGGUAUCGAACAGGAUUAGAUACCCUUGUAGUC